rnacentral:rRNA from 1 species
AACGAACGCUGGCGGCAUGCCUAACACAUGCAAGUCGAACGAGACCUUCGGGUCUAGUGGCGCACGGGUGCGUAACGCGUGGGAACCUGCCCUUAGGUUCGGAAUAACUCCCCGAAAGGGGUGCUAAUACCGGAUAAUGUCUUCGGACCAAAGAUUUAUCGCCUUUGGAUGGGCCCGCGUUGGAUUAGCUGGUUGGUAGGGUAAAAGCCUACCAAGGCGACGAUCCAUAGCUGGUCUGGGAGGAUGAUCAGCCACACUGGGACUGAGACACGGCCCAGAAUCCUACGGGAGGGAGGAGUGGGGAAUAUUGGACGAUGGGCGAAAGCCUGAUCCAGCAAUGCCGCGUGAGUUAUGAAGGCCUUAGGGUUGUAAAGCUCUUUUACCCGGGAUGAUAAUGACAGUACCGGGAGAAUAAGCUCCGGCUAACUCCGUG